UACGUAGGGUGCGAGCGUUGUCCGGAAUUACUGGGCGUAAAGAGCUCGUAGGUGGUUUGUCGCGUUGUUCGUGAAAACUCACAACUCAAUUGUGGGCGUGCGGGCGAUACGGGCAGACUGGAGUACUGCAGGGGAGACUGGAAUUCCUGGUGUAGCGGUGGAAUGCGCAGAUAUCAGGAGGAACACCGGUGGCGAAGGCGGGUCUCUGGGCCUUACCUGACGCUCAGGUGCGAAAGCUAGGGGAGCGAACAGG
rnacentral:rRNA from 1 species